CAAGUAAUUAAGUGCAUGUGGUGGAUGCCUUGGCAGUCAGAGGCGAUGAAAGACGUGAUAGCCUGCGAAAAGCUCCGGGGAGGCGGCAAAUAUCCUUUGAUCCGGAGAUGUCUGAAUGGGGGAACCCACCUACUUUAAGGUAGGUAUUGCAACAUGAAUACAUAGUGUUGCAAGGCGAACGAGGGGAAGUGAAACAUCUCAGUACCCUUAGGAAAAGAAAUCAAUUGAGAUUCCCUCAGUAGCGGCGAGCGAACGGGGAUCAGCCCAUUAAGUUAUGUGUGUUUUAGUGGAACGCUCUGGGAAGUGCGAACGUAGAGGGUGAUAUUCCCGUACACGAAAGGGCACACAUAAUGAUGACGAGUAGGGCGAGGCACGUGAAACCUUGUCUGAAUAUGGGGGGACCAUCCUCCAAGGCUAAAUACUCCUGACUGACCGAUAGUGAACCAGUACCGUGAGGGAAAGGCGAAAAGAACCCCUGUGAGGGGAGUGAAAUAGAUCCUGAAACCGCAUGCAUACAAGCAGUGGGAGCACCUUCGUGGUGUGACUGCGUACCUUUUGUAUAAUGGGUCAGCGACUUAUAUUCAGUAGCGAGGUUAACCGUAUAGGGGAGCCGUAGAGAAAUCGAGUCUUAAUAGGGCGUUUAGUUGCUGGGUAUAGACCCGAAACCAGGCGAUCUAUCCAUGAGCAGGUUGAAGGUUGGGUAACACUAACUGGAGGACCGAACCCACUGUCGUUGAAAAGCCAGGGGAUGACUUGUGGAUAGGGGUGAAAGGCUAAUCAAGCCUGGUGAUAGCUGGUUCUCCCCGAAAGCUAUUUAGGUAGCGCCUCGGACGAAUACCAUAGGGGGUAGAGCACUGUUUCGGCUAGGGGGUCAUCCCGACUUACCAAACCGAUGCAAACUCCGAAUACCUAUGAGUACUAUCCGGGAGACAGACUGCGGGUGCUAACGUCCGUAGUCAAGAGGAAAACAAUCCAGACCGCCAGCUAAGGCCCCAAAAUCAUAGUUAAGUGGGAAACGAUGUGGGAAGGCAUAGACAGCUAGGAGGUUGGCUUAGAAGCAGCCACCCUUUAAAGAAAGCGUAAUAGCUCACUAGUCGAGUCGGCCUGCGCGGAAGAUGUAACGGGGCUAAAACUAUGUGCCGAAGCUGCGGAUGUAUACUUUGUAUACGUGGUAGGGGAGCGUUCUGUAAGCCGAUGAAGGUGUGUUGAGAAGCAUGCUGGAGGUAUCAGAAGUGCGAAUGCUGACGUGAGUAACGACAAAACGGGUGAAAAACCCGUUCGCCGAAAGACCAAGGGUUCCAGUCCAACGUUAAUCGGGGCUGGGUGAGUCGACCCCUAAGGCGAGGCCGAAAGGCGUAGUCGAUGGGAAAAUGGUUAAUAUUCCAUUACUUCUGUGUAAUGCGAUGAGAGGACGGAGAAGGCUAAAUCAGCCUGGCGUUGGUUGUCCAGGUGAAAGGAUGUAGGCAUGUAUCUUAGGCAAAUCCGGGGUACUCUAUGCUGAGAUCUGAUAGCAAGCUGUACUUGUACAGCGAAGUGGUUGAUGCCAUGCUUCCAGGAAAAGUCUCUAAGCUUCAGUUACACAGGAAUCGUACCCGAAACCGACACAGGUGGUCAGGUCGAGUAGACCAAGGCGCUUGAGAGAACUCUGCUGAAGGAACUAGGCAAAAUGGUACCGUAACUUCGGGAGAAGGUACGCUGUUGUUGGUGAUGGAACUCGCUUCCUGAGCUGACGACAGCCGCAGAAACCAGGCCGCUGCAACUGUUUAUUAAAAACAUAGCACUCUGCAAACACGAAAGUGGACGUAUAGGGUGUGAUGCCUGCCCGGUGCUGGAAGGUUAAUUGAUGGGGUUAGCGUAAGCGAAGCUCUUGAUCGAAGCCCCAGUAAACGGCGGCCGUAACUAUAACGGUCCUAAGGUAGCGAAAUUCCUUGUCGGGUAAGUUCCGACCUGCACGAAUGGCAUAAUGAUGGCGGCGCUGUCUCCAGCAGAGGCUCAGUGAAAUCGAAAUCGCUGUGAAGAUGCAGUGUACCCGCGGCUAGACGGAAAGACCCCGUGAACCUUUACUGCAGCUUGACACUGAACUUUGACCUUACUUGUGUAGGAUAGGUGGGAGGCUUUGAAGCUGGAACGCUAGUUCCAGUGGAGCCGUCCUUGAAAUACCACCCUGGUAAUGUUGAGGUUCUAACUCUGUCCCGUGAUCCGGGACGAGGACCGUGUCUGGUGGGUAGUUUGACUGGGGCGGUCUCCUCCUAAAGAGUAACGGAGGAGUACGAAGGUGCGCUCAGCGUGGUCGGAAAUCACGCGUAGAGUAUAAAGGCAAAAGCGCGCUUAACUGCGAGACCCACAAGUCGAGCAGGUACGAAAGUAGGUCUUAGUGAUCCGGUGGUUCUGUAUGGAAGGGCCAUCGCUCAACGGAUAAAAGGUACUCUGGGGAUAACAGGCUGAUACCGCCCAAGAGUUCAUAUCGACGGCGGUGUUUGGCACCUCGAUGUCGGCUCAUCUCAUCCUGGGGCUGAAGCAGGUCCCAAGGGGAUGGCUGUUCGCCAUUUAAAGAGGUACGCGAGCUGGGUUUAGAACGUCGUGAGACAGUUCGGUCCCUAUCUACCGUGGGCGCUGGAAAUUUGAGAGGAUCUGCUCCUAGUACGAGAGGACCAGAGUGGACGAACCUCUGGUGUACCGGUUGUGACGCCAGUCGCAUCGCCGGGUAGCUAUGUUCGGAAGGGAUAACCGCUGAAAGCAUCUAAGCGGGAAGCCUACCUCAAGAUAAGAUUUCCCUAGGACUUUAUGUCCUCUAAAGAGCCGUUCGAGACUAGGACGUUGAUAGGUUGGAUGUGGAAGCAUAGUGAUAUGUGAAGCUGACCAAUACUAAUUGCUCGUGAGGCUUGACUA
rnacentral:rRNA from 6 species